AUUGAACGCUGGCGGCAUGCUUUACACAUGCAAGUCGAACGGUAACAGGCCUUCGGGUGCUGACGAGUGGCGAACGGGUGAGUAAUGCAUCGGAACGUACCCAGAGGUGGGGGAUAACGCAGCGAAAGCUGUGCUAAUACCGCAUGUGAUCUGAGGAUGAAAGCGGGGGACCGAGCAGCAAUGUUUGGCCUCGCGCCUUUGUGGCGGCCGAUGUCGGAUUAGCUAGUUGGUGGGGUAAAGGCCUACCAAGGCGACGAUCCGUAGCUGGUCUGAGAGGACGACCAGCCACACUGGGACUGAGACACGGCCCAGACUCCUACGGGAGGCAGCAGUGGGGAAUUUUGGACAAUGGGCGCAAGCCUGAUCCAGCAAUGCCGCGUGCGGGAAGAAGGCCUUCGGGUUGUAAACCGCUUUUGGCAGGAACGAAACGGUGUCCGCUAAUACCGGGCGCUAAUGACGGUACCUGCAGAAUAAGCACCGGCUAACUACGUG
rnacentral:rRNA from 1 species